GACGAACGCUGGCGGCGUGCUUAACGCAUGCCAGUCGGACGGAAAGGCCCUGCUUUUGUGGGGUGCUCGAGUGGCGAACGGGUGAGUAACACGUGAGUAACCUGCCCUUGACUUUGGGAUAACUUCAGGAAACUGGGGCUAAUACCGGAUAGGAGCUCCUGCUGCAUGGUGGGGGUUGGAAAGUUUCGGCGGUUGGGGAUGGACUCGCGGCUUAUCAGCUUGUUGGUGGGGUAGUGGCUUACCAAGGCUUUGACGGGUAGCCGGCCUGAGAGGGUGACCGGCCACAUUGGGACUGAGAUACGGCCCAGACUCCUACGGGAGGCAGCAGUGGGGAAUAUUGCACAAUGGGCGGAAGCCUGAUGCAGCAACGCCGCGUGCGGGAUGACGGCCUUCGGGUUGUAAACCGCUUUCGCCUGUGACGAAGCGUGAGUGACGGUAAUGGGUAAAGAAGCACCGGCUAACUACGUG
rnacentral:rRNA from 1 species